AACGAACGCUGGCGGCGUGCUUAACACAUGCAAGUCGAACGAGAAAAUCCUGGCUUGCCAGGAUGAGUAAAGUGGCGCACGGGUGAGUAACACGUGAGUAAUCUGCCCCUAAGACAGGAAUAACAUUGCGAAAGCGAUGCUAAUACCUGGUAAGCCCACGACUUCUUCGGGAGAUGUGGGAAAAGGUGGCCUCUGACAUAAGCUAUCACUUAGGGAUGAGCUCGCGGACCAUUAGCUUGUUGGUAGGGUAAUGGCCUACCAAGGCGAUGAUGGUUAGCUGGCCUGAGAGGGUGGCCAGCCACACUGGAACUGAGAUACGGUCCAGACUCCUACGGGAGGCAGCAGUGGGGAAUCUUGCGCAAUGGGGGAAACCCUGACGCAGCAACGCCGCGUGAGUGACGAAGGCUUUCGGGUCGUAAAGCUCUGUCAGAUGGAAAGAAUUAGUUCGCUGAAAAUAUUGGCGAAUGAUGACGGUACC
rnacentral:rRNA from 1 species